rnacentral:rRNA from 1 species
GAGUUUGAUCCUGGCUCAGGACGAACGCUGGCGGCGUGCUUAACACAUGCAAGUCGAACGGACUCAGUCGGUGGUAACACCGGCGAAAGUUAGUGGCGAACGGGUGCGUAACACGUGAGCAACCUACCCUAGAGACUGGGAUAACACCGGGAAACCGGUGCUAAUACCGGAUACCCCCAUUCCACCGCAUGAUGGAGUGAGGAAAUGUUUUUUCGCUCUUGGAGGGGCUCGCGGCCUAUCGGCUUGUUGGUGAGGUAACGGCUCACCAAGGCUUCGACGGGUAGCUGGUCUGAGAGGACGACCAGCCACACUGGGACUGAGACACGGCCCAGACUCCUACGGGAGGCAGCAGUGGGGAAUAUUGCGCAAUGGGCGAAAGCCUGACGCAGCAACGCCGCGUGGAGGAUGAAGGCUCUCGGGUUGUAAACUCCUUUCAACAGGGAAGAAAUUGACGGUACCUGCAGAAGAAGCACCGGCCAACUACGUGCCAGCAGCCGCGGUAAUAC